rnacentral:misc_RNA from 1 species
GAUGAAGAACGCAGCGAAAUGCGAUACGUAAUGUGAAUUGCAGAAUUCAGUGAAUCAUCGAAUCUUUGAACGCAUAUUGCGCUCUCUGGUAUUCCGGAGAGCAUGCUUGUUUGAGUAUCAGUAAACACCUCAACUUCCAUAUCUUUUUUUGAAAUGGGAGUUGGACUUGAGUGAUCCCAACGCUUUUCCUCACCGAAAAGUGGCGGGUUACUUGAAAUGCAGGUGCAGCUGGACUUUUCUCUGAGCUAUAAGCAUAUCUAUUUAGUCUGCCUAAAAAACAGAUUAUUACUUUUGCUGCAGCUAACAUAAAGGAGAUUAGUUCUUGUGCUGACUGAUGCAGGAUUCACAAAGACAGCUUCGGCCGACUUUGUAAACUCGAUCUCAAAUCAAGUAAGACUACCCGCUGAACUUAAGCAUAUCAAUAAGCGGAGGA